CGCUUUAGCCACUUUCCUGAUUAAUUAGCCCACACAACUUAAUAGCUCUUUGGAAUGGGGAAGUCGGUGAAAAUCCGACGCUGACCCGCAACCGUGAGCCUGCUUGAGAAUUAGCAGGUAAGUCGGAUUACCACCCAAGAAGCAUCUUUACCA
rfam:Actinobacteria bacterium BACL2 MAG-121220-bin52 contig00541_1_121220-bin52, whole genome shotgun sequence.